AGCAGCCGCGGUAAUUCCAGCUCCAAUAGCGUAUAUUAAAGUUGCUGCAGUUAAAAAGCUCGUAGUUGAAUUUCGGGACUAAUAUGUUGGUCGUGCCUCGGUACGUACUGAUAUUUUUGGUUCUCCCUUCUGACGAACCUUGAUGUCAUUAAUUUGGUGUCUUGGGAAAUCAGGACUGUUACUUUGAAAAAUUAGAGUGUUUAAAGCAGGCUCACGCUUGAAUACAUUAGCAUGGAAUAAUGAAAUAGGACGUUUGAUUCUAUUUUGUUGGUUUCUAGGAUCGACGUAAUGAUUAAUAGGGAUAGUUGGGGGCAUUAGUAUUCAAUUGUCAGAGGUGAAAUUCUUGGAUUUAUUGAAGACUAACUACUGCGAAAGCAUUUGCCAAGGAUGUUUUCAUUAAUCAAGAACGAAAGUUAGGGGAUCGAAGACGAUCAGAUAACCGUCGUAGUCUUAACCAUAAACUAUGCCGACUAGGGAUCGGAUGAUGUUAAUUUUUAAUGUAC
rnacentral:rRNA from 1 species